rnacentral:rRNA from 1 species
CCUGGCUCAGGAUGAACGCUAGCGGCAGGCUUAACACAUGCAAGUCGAGGGGCAGCGGGGAGGAAGCUUGCUUUCUCCGCCGGCGACCGGCGCACGGGUGAGUAACACGUAUGCAACCUGCCCCUGUCAGGGGGACAACCCGCCGAAAGGCGGGCUAAACCCGCGUACAUGCCACCGGGGCAUCCCGGAGGCAGGAAAGGCUUCGGCCGGACAGGGAUGGGCAUGCGGCGCAUUAGGCAGUAGGCGGGGUAACGGCCCACCUAACCGACGAUGCGUAGGGGUUCCGAGAGGAAGGUCCCCCACACUGGUACUGAGACACGGACCAGACUCCUACGGGAGGCAGCAGUGAGGAAUAUUGGUCAAUGGUCGGGAGACUGAACCAGCCAAGCCGCGUGAGGGAGGAAGGUACAGAGUAUCGUAAACCUCUUUUGUCAGGGAACAAAGGCGGGGACGUGUCCCCGGAUGAGUGUACCUGAAGAAAAAGCAUCGGCUAACUCCGUGCCAGCAGCCGCGGUAAUACGGAGGAUGCGAGCGUUAUCCGGAUUUAUUGGGUUUAAAGGGUGCGCAGGCGGUCUGUUAAGUCAGCGGUCAAAGCCCGGGGCUCAACCCCGGCCCGCCGUUGAAACUGGCAGUCUCGAGUUGGAGAGAAGUAUGCGGAAUGCGCGGUGUAGCGGUGAAAUGCAUAGAUAUCGCGCAGAACUCCGAUUGCGAAGGCAGCAUGCCGGCUCCACACUGACGCUGAGGCACGAAAGCGUGGGUAUCGAACAGGAUUAGAUACCCUGGUAGUCCACGCAGUAAACGAU